UAUUUUCAGGGUGGGGAGACGGCUGAUUGAAACCGAAAGUAAAGUUGUUCUUUUGUUCAGGAUCCAUUUUGAGACGACAGAGCAGAAAACACUACAUGGAGAUUAUUGAAAAAUAAAGGGUCAGUGCUCUAAAAUGAGUCUCUCUGGGGAGAGAGAGGAGGGGGGCCCUGCCUCUAAAAUGCAUCUCUCUGGGGGACAUGACACCAAAGCUAAGAGCGCCCGGCCCGGGAUAUAAACCAGCCACCUUUGGACCACAGGUCCAACUCCUGCCACAGCUCCAACUCCUUAGCCGCUGGACGAAAACCUGAGUUAAUCUUGAGAAAUUAGCAUAAAUUAAUCUGCCAAAAUGAAGACAAAACGCUUUGGAGACAUACAUGGUAUCACUUGUUAUACAUAAGUAUUAUACAUAAAUCAUUGCCAAAAGCACAAGACAUAUAUUAUUUAUGGAUUGACCAUAUAGAGAUAUAAAACAUUAUUUUUAACUACUGCAAAGCAAUUACAUGUGGCUCAGGAACCACUGACUCGCUGCAUUAUUCUAUUGUAUUAUCAAGACACCUGCUGUUAACUCUUAACUACUUAGGACAGCUCACGAGGUGUUCUAAAUAUCUGCCGACUAGGUGGGACUAGAGACUUCAUGCAUAGCUUUAAUUUAUUCCCGGAAGUGUCAAAU